GCUAUCUAUGGUGCUACACCCUGUGGAUGGAUCUAAAUAAUAUGAGGGUGGGAAUUAUAAAUAUAGUUCCUAUUGGAUAAGGCUACUCAACUGAAGAGCUCCACCCACUAGGUCCAAAGGAGGCACAUAAAUAUGAAUUAGUGUACUAAGCAUAUAAUCUUAUACAAACAAUAAAAUAUGCUCAUGCCUCUACUCUUGCAAUUACGAAAUCAUACGUGUAAAUUAUUUUCCAUUUCUACUUACUAUUUCAUUAUCCUAAUCACAUGUUACCCAGCUCUAUUCAUGGGUCAAUUCAUAGCGGAAUUGCCACUUCCAUCAUGGCAUUGUGUAGCGGAAUCGCUGCUCUUACCCUUGGCCAUAUUGUCAUACUUAGCGGAAUCGCUGCCUCGACUUUGGCAUUAGGUAUCAGAAUUGCCGCUGACCCCCUGCCACAAGUCUCUAAGCAGUAGAAUUGCUGCUUUUGUCUCAAAUCUUUGGAUAGCAAAAUCACUACUUUCAUUGUCUCGUCAAGGAUCCAUACGUUUCACCUUAUGUUAUUAACCUGACUAGGUUUAAUGUCAUUCAUGUCUACGUGAUCAUCCUACUAUAUUUUUCAAACCUAUGUUCAAUGGCAC
rnacentral:lncRNA from 1 species